GUCUUCUGACAGCUCUUGUUGUUUUUCUCAUCGACAUUUCCAUUUUAACAUUUAGUAGCCAAAAGGGUCCAAGUCCCCUUGAUCUCGCAAGAACGUACUGCCAGAAUUACGUUGAUCCACCAGGUUUUGAAGUAAAAACCGUCAAUGAUGUCAUAGCAUUGACGCUACCAACGAUAUAUUUCAUGAGGGUCGAAUGAUAAAUGAUGCCGAAAAUGGAGACGCAAAACAAAAUUGUGUAAUGAAAAUAGUUGAAGUCAACCAAACUCCCCAUCUAUGCACUUUCGCCGACAGAGACAUUGCAAUUGGCGAGGAACUCCGAUAUGAUUAUGGAGUACCAACACUUCCAUGGAGAAAGGCAACACAAUGACUACUAGAUCUACGGACAGCCAGGAACCAGGACAAACAACAUCC